rnacentral:tRNA from 1 species
GGCUUCAUAGUUCUGUUGGUUAGAGCGUUAGCUGCAUUAAAGCCUUCCGCUUGCUGGCGUGGGUUCGAAACCCACCGAGGUCG